rnacentral:rRNA from 1 species
UACGAAGGGGGCUAGCGUUGCUCGGAAUCACUGGGCGUAAAGGGUGCGUAGGCGGGCCUUUAAGUCAGGGGUGAAAUCCUGGAGCUCAACUCCAGAACUGCCUUUGAUACUGAGGAUCUUGAGUUCGGGAGAGGUGAGUGGAACUGCGAGUGUAGAGGUGAAAUUCGUAGAUAUUCGCAAGAACACCAGUGGCGAAGGCGGCUCACUGGCCCGGUACUGACGCUGAGGUGCGAAAGCGUGGGGAGCAAACAGG